AGUCACUGACAUUAGAUACCCGGGUAGUCCAGGGUGUAAACGCUGCAGACUUGGUGUUGGAAGUCCUUUGGGGGCAUUCAGUGCCGGAGAGAAGUUGUUAAGUCUGCUACUUGGGGAGUACGUCCGCAAGGAUGAAACUUAAAGGAAUUGGCGGGGAGCACCACAACGGGUGGAGCCUGCGGUUUAAUUGGACUCAACGCCGGAAAUCUCACCGGAUAGGACAGACAUAUGAUAGUCGGGCUGAAGACUCUACUUGAUGAUCCG
rnacentral:rRNA from 1 species